AUUGAACGCUGGCGGCAGGCCUAACACAUGCAAGUCGAACGAGUGGCGGACGGGUGAGUAAUGUCUGGGAAACUGCCCGAUGGAGGGGGAUAACUACUGGAAACGGUAGCUAAUACCGCAUACCAUCGGAUUUGCCCAGAUGGGAUUAGCUGGUAGGUGGGGUAACGGCUCACCGUGGCGACGAUCCCUAGCUGGUCUGAGCGGAGGACCAGCAAAAUUGGACUGGAGACACGGUCCAGCCUCCUACGGAAGGCAGCAGUGGGGAAUAUUGCACAAUGGGCGCAAGCCUGAUGAAGACAUGCCGCGUGGAUGAAGAAGGCCUCCGGGUUGUAAAGUACUUUCAGCGAGGAGGCGUUACUCGCAGAAGAAGCACCGGCUAACUCCGUGCCAGCAGCCGCGGUAAUUC
rnacentral:rRNA from 1 species